rnacentral:rRNA from 1 species
CAGCCGCCGCGGUAAUACAGAGGACGCAAGCGUUAUCCGGAAUGAUUGGGCGUAAAGCGUCUGUAGGUGGCUUUUCAAGUCCGCCGUCAAAUCCCAGGGCUCAACCCUGGACAGGCGGUGGAAACUACCAAGCUGGAGUACGGUAGGGGCAGAGGGAAUUUCCAGUGGAGCGGUGAAAUGCGUUGAGAUCGAAAAGAACACCAACAGCGAAAGCACUCUGCUGGGACGACACUGACACUAAGAGACGAAAGCUAGGGGAGCAAAUGGGAUUAGAUACCCCAGUAGUCCCUGUCUCUUAUAC